rnacentral:rRNA from 1 species
GAUGAACGCUGGCGGCGUGCCUAAUACAUGCAAGUCGAGCGAACAGACGAGGAGCUUGCUCCUCUGACGUUAGCGGCGGACGGGUGAGUAACACGUGGAUAACCUACCUAUAAGACUGGGAUAACUUCGGGAAACCGGAGCUAAUACCGGAUAAUAUAUUGAACCGCAUGGUUCAAUAGUGAAAGACGGUUUUGCUGUCACUUAUAGAUGGAUCCGCGCCGCAUUAGCUAGUUGGUAAGGUAACGGCUUACCAAGGCAACGAUGCGUAGCCGACCUGAGAGGGGGACCGGCACACUGGAACUGAGGAACGGGCCCAACUCCCUCGGGGAGCCACCGUUAGGAAACUUUCGGAAUGGGCGAAAGCCUGACGGAGCAACGCCGCGUGAGUGAUGAAGGUCUUCGGAUCGUAAAACUCUGUUAUUAGGGAAGAACAAAUGUGUAAGUAACUAUGCACGUCUUGACGGUACCUAAUCAGAAAGCCACGGCUAACUACGUG